rnacentral:snoRNA from 1 species
AUAUAAUACACAAUGAUGACUAGCAUAGUUCAACUGAUACAACUCUGACGACAAUUUAAUGUUAUAGUCUUUCGUCCCUAUCUGACAUUUCUA